ACCAACAGGGAUUGCCCUAGUAACGGCGAGUGAAGCGGCAACAGCUCAAAUUUGAAAUCUGGCUCUUUCAGAGUCCGAGUUGUAAUUUGCAGAGGGCGCUUUGGCUUUGGCAGCGGUCCAAGUUCCUUGGAACAGGACGUCACAGAGGGUGAGAAUCCCGUACGUGGUCGCUAGCUAUUGCCGUGUAAAGCCCCUUCGACGAGUCGAGUUGUUUGGGAAUGCAGCUCUAAAUGGGAGGUAAAUUUCUUCUAAAGCUAAAUAUUGGCCAGAGACCGAUAGCGCACAAGUAGAGUGAUCGAAAGAUGAAAAGCACUUUGGAAAGAGAGUCAAACAGCACGUGAAAUUGUUGAAAGGGAAGCGCUUGCAGCCAGACUUGCUUGCAGUUGCUCAUCCGGGCUUUUGCCCGGUGCACUCUUCUGUAGGCAGGCCAGCAUCAGUUUGGGCGGUGGGAUAAAGGUCUCUGUCACGUACCUCUCUUCGGGGAGGCCUUAUAGGGGAGACGACAUACCACCAGCCUAGACUGAGGUCCGCGCAUCUGCUAGGAUGCUGGCGUAAUGGCUGUAAGCGGCCCGUCUUGAAACACGGACCAAGGAGUCUAACAUCUAUGCGAGUGUUUGGGUGUCAAGCCCGAGCGCGUAAUGAAAGUGAACGGAGGUGGGAACCCGCAAGGGUGCACCAUCGACCGAUCCUGAAGUUUACGGAAGGAUUUGAGUAAGAGCAUGGCUGUUGGGACCCGAAAGAUGGUGAACUAUGCUUGAAUAGGGUGAAGCCAGAGGAAACUCUGGUGGAGGCUCGCAGCGGUUCUGACGUGCAAAUCGAUCGUCAAAUUUGGGCAUAGGGGCGAAAGACUAAUCGAACU
rnacentral:rRNA from 1 species